rnacentral:rRNA from 1 species
GAUGAACGCUGGCGGCGUGCCUAAUACAUGCAAGUCGAGCGAAUGGAUUGAGAGCUUGCUCUUAUGAAGUUAGCGGCGGACGGGUGAGUAACACGUGGGUAACCUGCCCAUAAGACUGGGGUAACUCCGGGAAACCGGGGCUAACACCGGAUAACAUUUUGAACCGCAUGGUUCGAAAUUGAAUGGCGGCUUCGGCUGUCACUUAUGGAUGGACCCGCGUCGCAUUAGCUAGUUGGUGAGGUAACGGCUCACCAAGGCAACGAUGCGUAGCCGACCUGAGAGGGUGAUCGGCCACACUGGGACUGAGACACGGCCCAGACUCCUACGGGAGGCAGCAGUAGGGAAUCUUCCGCAAUGGACGAAAGUCUGACGGAGCAACGCCGCGUGAGUGAUGAAGGCUUUCGGGUCGUAAAACUCUGUUGUUAGGGAAGAACAAGUGCUAGUUGAAUAAGCUGGCACCUUGACGGUACCUAACCAGAAAGCCACGGCUAACUACGUGCCAGCCGCCGCAGUAA